UGAGACACGGCCCAGACUCCUACGGGAGGCAGCAGUAGGGAAUCUUCCGCAAUGGACGAAAGUCUGACGGAGCAACGCCGCGUGAGUGAUGAAGGUUUUCGGAUCGUAAAGCUCUGUUGUUAGGGAAGAACAAGUACCGUUCGAAUAGGGCGGUACCUUGACGGUACCUAACCAGAAAGCCACGGCUAACUACGUGCCAGCAGCCGCGGUAAUACGUAGGUGGCAAGCGUUGUCCGGAAUUAUUGGGCGUAAAGGGCUCGCAGGCGGUUCCUUAAGUCUGAUGUGAAAGCCCCCGGCUCAACCGGGGAGGGUCAUUGGAAACUGGGGAACUUGAGUGCAGAAGAGGAGAGUGGAAUUCCACGUGUAGCGGUGAAAUGCGUAGAGAUGUGGAGGAACACCAGUGGCGAAGGCGACUCUCUGGUCUGUAACUGACGCUGAGGAGCGAAAGCGUGGGGAGCGAACAGGAUUAGAUACCCUGGUAGUCCACGCCGUAAACGAUGAGUGCUAAGUGUUAGGGGGUUUCCGCCCCUUAGUGCUGCAGCUAACGCAUUAAGCACUCCGCCUGGGGAGUACGGUCGCAAGACUGAAACUCAAAGGAAUUGACGGGGGCCCGCACAAGCGGUGGAGCAUGUGGUUUAAUUCGAAGCAACGCGAAGAACCUUACCAGGUCUUGACAUCCUCUGACAAUCCUAGAGAUAGGACGUCCCCUUCGGGGGCAGAGUGACAGGUGGUGCAUGGUUGUCGUCAGCUCGUGUCGUGAGAUGUUGGGUUAAGUCCCGCAACGAGCGCAACCCUUGAUCUUAGUUGCCAGCAUUCAGUUGGGCACUCUAAGGUGACUGCCGGUGACAAACCGGAGGAAGGUGGGGAUGACGUCAAAUCAU
rnacentral:rRNA from 1 species